ACUGUACCUCACCCCUUCAUGGGCGGUAGACUGUAACACGUUACACUGUACCUCACCCCUUCAUGGGAGGUAGACUGUAACACGUUACACUGUACCUCACCCCUUCAUGGGAGGUAGACUGUAACACGUUACACUGUACCUCACCCCUUCAUGGGAGGUAGACUGUAACACGUUACACUGUACCUCAACCCUUCAUGGGAGGUAGACUGUAACACGUUACACUGUACCUCAACCCUUCAUGGACGGUACGCUGUACCUCAGAUAACCCUUCAUGGACGGUACGCUGUACCUCAGAUAACCCUUCAUGGACGGUACGCUGUACCUCAGAUAACCCUUCAUGGACGGUACGCUGUACCUCAGAUAACCCUUCAUGGACGGUACGCUGUACCUCAGAUAACCCUUCAUGGAUGGUACGCUGUACCUCAGAUAACCCUUCAUGGAUGGUAGACUGUAACAAGGCUCAUUCUGAGCAGGGGUGAAGGAAGCAAAGUGAAGCCUGUAUGUCUGUUUAGUUCAUUUUAUUUUCUGGGGUGAAGGACAAUAGUUGGAGCCCUGAAUGAACUGACAUAAGUGUAACUGUCUUGGUUAUUUAGGAAAGUUCAUGAAUGUUUCAUUUGACCUAAUGGUAACUCACAAAAGGCCUACAAGUUUAAGAGAUUACAUGUUACCGUAAGAAACCCAAUGCGGGUGGUAACUGUAAAAAGUCUAUACUUUACCCCAGAAUACCCAUUACAAGCGGUCCUAUAGAAACAUGGGAGCCUUAUUCACGUCAGGGAAAUUUAGCAAAAAAUAUCAGCCUAUUUGCAACGCACCUUAUUAUUGUAUUUUUGUUUUCGUGGUUUGCACAUGAUUAUGAAAGUGUAUGUAAUUCUGUCCUUGUGAUGCACUUGUCUAUUAAUGUUCUGUAUCUUUUGUUUGGACCCCAGGAAGAGUAGCUGCUGCUUUAGUAGUAGCUAAUGAGGAUCCGAAUAAAAUACCCCGAAAAGUACUACUGUAAUCACAUGGAAAAAACAAUGUUUAGCAGACCACUAGUUUGCAUCAAGCCUGUCUUGAGAAUUUUGGUCAUACUUUAGGUUUUCAUUGACAUCACAGUGAAUAUCCUCAUUGGGCAUACUUUAGGUAUUCAUUAACAUUACAGUAAAUGUCCCCAUUGGUCAUACUUUAGCUUCUCAUUGACAUCACAGUAAAUGUCCCCAUUGGUCAUACUUUAGCUUCUUAUUGACAU